GCCAGUGUGGUGUAGUGGUUUGAGUGUUGGAGCACAGCUCUGGAGACUAGGGUUCGAAUCCCUACUCUUCCA